rnacentral:sRNA from 1 species
GGAAGAAGAUGGCGGAAGGCGGAGCGGCGGAUCUGGACACCCAGCGGUCUGACAUCGCGACGCUGCUCAAAACCUCGCUCCGGAAAGGGGACACCUGGUACCUAGUCGAUAGUCGCUGGUUCAAACAGUGGAAAAAAUAUGUUGGCUUUGACAGUUGGGACAAAUACCAGAUGGGAGAUCAAAAUGUGUAUCCUGGACCCAUUGAUAACUCUGGACUUCUCAAAGGUCAUUAUUUUCUUCCUUCAGUCAAGUUGUAAAUGUGUUAAAUUUCAUUAUAUAAAUGUCAGUGAGUUGAAUAUGGAAAAUGUUAGUGCAAAUAAGUUGAUAAAGUUUUGCAUUACAGAUUUGACCUAAUGAACUUAUUAUUCUAAUUAGUUAUUAAAAAUUUUGCUAUUAUUCUGUAUGACAAGUUUUGUUUUUCAUUUAUGAUGUAAUAAGGUUUUAUUGUUGUUUAAACCCUUAAAUGAAGAAUCUGAUUUCUUCAUUUAAAGAUUUCAUUAUUAAGUAAUCAUUAUUUAAUGAUUAUUUAUUACUAAAUAAUCGGACUGAUUAUUUG